UUGUGUUGAAUCUGAACUCAUUUGUGUUUCUGUCAAUGUGGGUGCCUGGUGGAACCAGUCUGAAGAUGGAUGUAUGACAAGAGGUGGUGUCCACAACCAGAGAAGAAGCAUCAUGCUGCUUCUCCCGUUGAUGAGUCAACUGGAUGCAGAAAACCCUCUAUGGAAACUCACAAACUAUCUUUCACUCAGGGAAAGUCACUAAAAAGGAAAAUAUCCCCCUGCAUUGAAAACAGGGAUGAUGCUGGAUCUUUUCUGGGUAACGUACUGGAGCAAUACUGUGAUCAGGCUCUGUGAUUUGAUUCCACAAAUGACAUUCUUGCACCUCUUACAAAGAUUGUGGAUGGUGUUGACAUGAACCCUCAUGAUGUCGGUGGUUGUCCAAACAUCUGAUAUUCGGGAAGGCCCACAAGACGGUAAGGCUUGAGCAACUUGGGGUAGUUCACUCUCUCCCCUUGAGGCCCCGGCUGGAAGAGCAGAAGGAAAUUUUUUCCUCCUUACACUAUGUUAUAGAUGACAUCCAUGGAAAAAGAACCCGAACUCUAUAUAAUAAUUUCAAGAAGGUCAUUUUGAGCUGGAUAUGUGUGUGAACAUGGCUAGGAGAGUAACACCCAAGAAGACCUGAGCAAGUGGUUUUGUCAUGGUUGGGUGACAGUUUGGCUUCCUACAUUUCAAGGAGGAAAGCGUUACAUGUAAAGUCAUAAAUCAAUAUGUAUCUGGAUGUAUCUGGGUUUGAGCUGGAAAGGCAGGACAUUUUGAAGCAGGAGAUUAUAGGUUAUGGGUGGGUUUUAAGAUUCUUUGAUUUGUGAUUGGUUCAGGAAAUAAAGGUUUGUCUAAAGCA